rnacentral:lncRNA from 1 species
UCCACUUGAUCAGCAGCCACUGGAGUAGAUUCCUCUUCAGUCACCACUUCAGGUUGAAUCUUCACUCCUUCUGGUAGGAGUUCUAUAUGAAAUGACAUGAUCAUGGAUGUUUAUGCUUAUGCAACUUGAAAAGAAAAUACUAACAAAACAUCACAACACUUAUACCUCUUUAAAGGUGCACACAAAAACUAACAAAACCAUAAGAGAGCUAAAUACUCUAAUAUCACAACACAAUUCACCAACCAAACUAGGAAACCUUGCCUCUAUAACCAACCAAGUGCUUCAUUUAUGCCUUAAGCAAGGAUCCAAACUGCAUGUACUACAAGUUAAGGUGUCCAAAAUUCAGCCACCUUCCACUAAACUUGUUUUCAGUUUUCUGAAACAGACAUCUCACACAGACUGAUAGAAGAAACUUAGGCAUAUUUUAUUCUAAAUUUUAUACAGCUCCAAACUUAUUUCUCUGUAAGAAACUUGUUCACCCAACACAGCUACAAAUCUCUUCUAUAAGGUUUUUAGCUUAUAACCUUACAUACCAAGUGUUAGGGUGCAUUAAAGUUGAGCAAACACACGGAAAAUCCAUUUUCCCAAUCUGAAACAGCACAUUACUAGGUCUGACAGAGAGUUUUGUCACUCCUUUUUCUCCAAAUUCUACAAAGUAGCAAGCCAACACUUCGCAUGAGACUUGCUCUCCUUUACAUGGUCUUUGACUUUGCUAUAGCAUUCUUAUCCCAAUUCUUCUUGGAUUAAUUACCACAAGGACCCAAAAUUGAAUAAACACACAAAUUCAGACUUAAAUAUUAUUUUAAGUCUGAAUCCUAACACCUGACAGUCCACCUUUUGGCCACUUUUAUUUCCAAAUUUAUGUGGAACCAAGUCCACCACACUUUACAAAACUUACUCUCUUUACUAUGGUCUCCAGCUUUGCUAUGUAAACUUUAAUCCAAAACCCCAUGAACCAGUCACAAAUGAAUUACAAACUAGGCAUACUGUUGCAAUUCAGUUCACAGAACUGAAUAAAAAAUUCAGUUGUGUUCAGCCUGACUGUCCAAAUUUAGACAACCUUUUCUCCAAUUUUUACACAGCAACAAACCAAGCUCACAUUACCAAAGUUAUUCCUUAGAUAUAGCUCUAUUACUUUGGUAUAGUACCCCUAGGUUGAAAACAUUCAGAACAAUUUUUAUGAAGCACCAAAGUGGAGCUCAACACAUUAGAAUAUAGUUUCAGCUUUCUGCACUAAAUCUGGGAUCCAAAAAUCCGAUAGCCAAUUUUUGAGCGAAUUUUACAUCUAGUUUAGAGCAACAGACAGUGGUAGAGUUCAAGAACUAACUUGUGUGAGCUUCAUCGGCCAACAAAGAUUACUGAACAAGCAACAUGGACAUUACCUGCUGGAGUUACUCUGCUAUAGCAAGGUGAAGUUCCACUGACCCAAACCGAAGGGCACUGAUCAAGGGCAGGUUUCACUGAAUAUAUAUAGGCAAAAGGGUCCCUGAUCUUUGCCCACAACUCGGUGAGGAGAUAAUACCAGGGUGCCAACACUGCAUGGCUGACAUACUUGCAUGUUU